CGUAGCACAGCGUCGUCAUUCUGUUCUAGAACCUUCUGAGAACAUCGAUACUGCUGUGCGCUUUUGAUUGUGUUGGUUACCCCGUGACAAGUCGACAGUGUGCAGCUGCCCUCCAGCUCCUCUCCAUCUCCCUCUACUUCUAUCACAUCUGUCUUUACUGGCCCUUCUAUCCACUCUAUCUAUUAUUGGUUCUUUUCACCUCUCUCCUAUAACAUCUACCACUCAUCCCUUAAUAUAAGGUUUUCUAUCUCUCCUGUCAAAUCUAAUAAAUCUAUCUAAAUUUGAGGUUUUCUAUCAUUCUAUCCCUCUAAUUCUAUCCCGCUCUAUCCACAUUUGGUUCUGUUGCAAGUUACCCUCUGGUUCUGGUUCAAAUAUUAUCAUACCCAUUUGUUCUGGUUGGAAAGCUACAGAUUAUUGGUAUCUGUUUUGGAUUCAUUGGUUGAUUGGAACCUGAUCAUUCUGUUUUAUGGAUCUGUGAGUUUCUCUGCUCACACUUUUUCUACCUCUCUUGUCUCUCUCUCACACACAUUUGAUUUGGCCUUUUCAAUUGGCAAAAACCUUAUUGUAUUUUUGAAUUGUCCAUAUUGUAUCAAUAUUCUAUUUGGUAACAGUCAUAAUUAAAUAAAUUAUUAAGUAUUUUUUAGUUUGUUCAUUAAAUUAAUUGAAAAGACUGGAAACACAUAAAUAACACACAUUUUGUUUAACUUUUAUCACAAACAUUUGACUGUAAAAACUAAUUCAAAAUUAGAUCUGGUAAAUUUCCAAAUAUAUAAGUUGCUGUUACAAAGUGUAUCAUUGAAGAAAACAGUCUCUUGUUAAUGUACAUAACAAUAAAUUGAAGUCCAAAUCUAUAUUUAUACAAGAAAAGAGCUGUAGUUGUUCCUGGACCGUGUUGCUGUGGAGCUCUGUACCAUGUGGGAUAUAGAUACACACGCUUUGCUGACCAAAUGACUUAUGUUCCUAUAAUAUACUGCCUAAUUAUUGCAGCAAGCUGCCUAGACUUAACGAGCUAAAAGUAUGCUGCACGAGAACAGAGCCAAGGCUGCACACAGGUGGCCUGCAUCGUGCAAAGGAGGACAUGUUCCUCUGUGGGAUGGAGUAAGCAAGGACGGAGGACACCAAGACCUGGCACAGUCACAAUCCAUCAAAAGCAACAGCCCACUUUGUAGAGACAGAUGUUCGUGUGUGAUAUGUAACUGCCCUUGUUAAACUUCAAUAAAAGACAGGCAAAAGAGGAAGAGAGUCAGAGCUCUCUGGUGAGAGACAGACUGCGGAGUCUGCCUACGGAGUGAUGCUCUCCUCCUAUAGGAGCCUAUUGUGUGAACUUUAACUUGUGUUUGUGAAGUUAUUACUAUCUAUUGCAGUGAAGAAGUCCUCACCUGGGAGUGCACCUUGGAAGCACGACAAUUGGGGGCUCGUCCGGGA